UUCGUCUGUUCAUUCCGUCAAGUCAUUUGCCACAAAUUUUUCGCCUUAUCGCGAUCGGCACCCUUGUCAGGUAUCGUGCAGAUCAUCGUUGUCAGGAUCGGAGGUUAUUCAGAAGUUCGCCAAAAUCUGCUGUAGCGCAGAGAUAGAUUCCGCGCGGCUCGAUUGGAUUUCCGCAGUUCAAAUUUCAACACCUUUCACGCUGCAAUCACCGAAUCAACGGCUGUUUAAGCAGUUGCUUAUAACCGCGUUGAAAAUGUCAUCUGAGUAAAUAAAACGCAGAACGAUCUCGCUCCAUCGUUAUGACGUUCGUUUAUGUCAUACAGGGGGCACCGAACUGCAGUUUUUUUCCUGCUUCACCUAUUGUUGAGAGGCCAAAAGGAAGUGUUAAUGAGUCAUGGCACGAGCUAGUAGCGGAGCAGUUAUGUUUGCAGUGCAAUCAGAUGGCGGCACGCUAAAGAGGAAGAGGCUCCUCGCACCUUUCCGAUAACGAGCCAUGCCGCUAAGUCAGGGACUGCCUCCUUGCUCCUAAGUCCUUUCUUGAGUUGCGGCGAGCUAUUGCUUGCAAAACGCUAAUAUUGGCCGGUAUGUUACAAAUGCAGCUGAAAUAUAUAUGAGUUUCGCAAAUGAACAGAAAAGCUAUAGUUGCAUCUCAACAAAUGCA